CCCCUUUCCACUUUUCACUCUCUUGCACCGCCGUAUUGAACCAAAACCUCCACAAACACCUCCUCUCUCUUCACGCUACCCUCGUUUGACUAAGCUCCUCAGUAGCCACGCUCGUCAAGGCCGCUAAACAGGGAUAGUAAAUGUCUACGGCCAGUGACGUGUCAAGUGGUCCGCCCCUGUGUCAUUGUGGAGUUCCAGCACAGCUGAGGCACUCUAGGACGUCAAGAAACCCGGGUAGAAAGUGGUACGGAUGUAUACAUUACAAGAAAAUCGGUGAUUGUGAUUAUUUUGCGUGGGCUAAUAAUAUGUCCACUACCGAGAAGAUCUUGAUGGAACGUCUUGAGGAACUGGAGAAGAGAAUGAAUGCUUUUAAUAACGGAGUUGAUGACCUUGUUGAAGCAAAAUGUAAGGCCCAUUACGACGUCAUUCGGCGGGAGUUAGGGUUUGGUCGAAAAAACAUUACUUCUUUCCGGGCUACGGCAUUACUACUCAUUUUGUUGUUAGUCUUCUAUUGUAUUGGUUAUAGUGGAU